CAAAGCCCUAGUUCACACUCUCAAUCUGAUAAAAGCGAUGACCACCAACGUCUUUGUUCACACUCUCAGUCAGAUAUAUCACUCACACAAUGAGAAACUAUGGUCUGUUCGGAGGGAGAUAGAGUUAGAAAGUGGCAACUAGAUGGGCUAUGCAGAAAUAAUCAUCAAUGGCAACCAAAAUCAAAGGAACCCAUCCAUUAUUUUGUUUGUCACUUUUAUCAUAUUCGUGAAC
rnacentral:lncRNA from 1 species